AGAGACGAUUUUCAUUGAUUUUAUUAUUUUAAUCACUUCUCUGUAUAGUUUACCAUUAUUACUUAUUGACCAGUUUAUCUAUGUAUUAUUUAAUCAUUAGAGUAUUUAGUAUUAAUCAGCUAUGCUUGACCGCACAGUGGGAACUGUUUCUACCUGUACAAUUUAUAUAUCAUUAGUUAGAAAGCUCAGGUGAAUUUCUCUGUGGUCAGAAUUAUCUGUGUUCUCAUUGGUUAAUUGGGACAUACCCCCAGAUUUGAAAUGGGUAUUGUUUGAGAAAAUGGAGAAUUUAUAUUUACUUUAGUUUGUGCCAUUUCUAUAUUGUUUGGAAUGGAAUGAUAUUUCAUUGAUAGUCAUUUACAGUAUUUUGGACAUAUGGAAUUUAGUAUAUUCACUUUAUAAGGACCCAUUGAUCAUACAGACAUAUAUUUGAUGUUAGAAGUAGAGCAUUGGUUAUAAUGCUAAUGUAGUGCUGUUGAUGUUAUAGCCUGAUUCCAUAAAUCGGGCUGUAUUUAUUAUAUUUCCUGAAUAUUAAUAAAGUAUGAAGAACCCUAAACAGAGUGUUGUUAUACGAGCCCUAAAACCACCCUGUUAUA